GACGAACGCUGGCGGCGUGCUUAACACAUGCAAGUCGAACGAAAAGACGAGGAGCUUGCUCCUCGGACGUUAGCGGCGGACGGGUGAGUAACACGUGGAUAAUCUACCUAUAAGUCUGGGAUAACCUCGGGAAACCGGAGCUAAUACCGGAUAAGAUACUGAACCACAUGGUUCAAUAGUGAAAGUCGGUGUUGCUGUCACGUAUAGAGGCAUCCGCGCGGCAUUGGCUGGUUGGUAAGUUACCGACUUACCAAGGCAAGGAUGCGUAGCCGACCGGAGAGGGUGGUCGGCCGCCCUGGAAGUGAACCACGUUCCAGGCUCCUACGGGAGGGAGCAGUAGGGAAUCUUCCGCAAUGGGCGGGAGCUUGACGGAGCAAGGGCGCGUGAGUGGUGGAGGUCUUCCGUUCGUAAUAAUCUGUUUUUAGGGAAGAACAAAUGUGUAAGUAGCUAUGCACUGCUUGACGGUACCUAGUCAAGAAGCAACGGCUAACUACGUG
rnacentral:rRNA from 1 species